GUAAAAGGCGGUGAGCAGAGGCAUUUGAAUACUGUUCCCCCAGGACCCUGAUCUACAGAUGAGGCUGGUCUAUUCUGGGGACAGCAAGGUUUCUCAGUCUUGAUUCCCCAACCCUGCCCCAGCUCCACCUUAGUGUAAGAGGACCAGCGUCAGUGCCAAGGUCAGCAGAUUUCAGGAGCAACAGAAAACACGUUUCCUUGGGAGGAACAGCAUCUUUCUGAAUGCACUAGACAUCAGAGAGUAGUCAUUUGGAGAAGGAGCAGUUCUGGACUGAUUAUUUUUAGGUGCCUCUGCAGAUUAGGUGUCCCCACCCCCUGGACCACAGACCACCACUGGUCUCUUAGGAACCGGGUGACACGGCAGGAGAAUUCUUCUGAAGAUGUCUUCUAAUUCCCUGAAGUGGUAAACAUCCCAGCAGUAAUUUUGACAAACAAAUAAUGGCCUCUGAAGUAGCCUGUGUUUUUUCUUUUUGGGAAUGAAUAAGAAUAUCUGAAAUGC